GGCCCUCCCUGCAGGUGCAGGGGCUGCGCGUUGCACUGCGAGGCUCCCUCGGCUCGCACAGCCACGGGGGUGCGUGGACUCCGUGGGGAGCCAGGACGGGAGGCCUGGGCAGCCGGGGGGCCCGGAGGAGAUCAAGGAGCGCGGUCCGCACUGCAGCACCGGGCACCUCGAAGAGGGAGCGAUGCGGCUGACAUGGUGAACGGCCGCGUGGGCGCAACACGCAGGAGAAGCCGACUCUUGGACCUGGAACCACUGUCGUUGACCUGGACGGGAGCAGCGGGAAGGGUGCGCAGGCGGCGAGCAGAGGACCAAGGCCCGGGUGGCACAGGCUGUGGGCUGCCCCAACGCUUUCCUCCUUUAUUCUCGUUAAAAGAGAUCUCACUUUAUUCGCGGCGCACGUGAGCGGGAAGACGAUGCUUCCCAGUGCCCUGCAGAAACCACCCUUCAGACGGGCUGGUGAUGCUUGUUGGUGCACGAGCCGGAGCGCUCCUGCCAAGCGGGAGGUGCCCGUGCCACCUUCACCACCCUCCUGCCCCCUUCCAGCCCCAGCUGCCACCUGCUGCCUCAGGUGCAGCCGACCUCGAAGGGAGCUGGCCGCGGGGAGGGCAGAGGAGGAAGGCGCAAGCCCUUAGGUCCUGGGGGUCCCCAGGGCUGCCGGGUUAGCCCCCACUGCGACCUCCGGGUGGCUCUUCCUGGAACCCCGACGUCUGAAGGAGAUGCAUCUAAGUCAAUUAGCAGCUGUGUGUAUUUCCUAAAUGAUUUAGAUCGUGGACCUCGGAUGAAUUCAAUUCUGCCCAAUUAAUCUAUAAAUUUAAUGUGAUCCCCAAAUGAACAGCAACAUGAUUUGUUCUGGAAUUAGACAAGCUGAUGCUAAAACUCACACAGGAAAAGAAAGCAGCAGAAACAGCUCAGGAAACUCCCAAACAGACGUGCGCACGGGGAGGUGACGAGGGCUGGAGCGACCGACUGAAACUAGCAGACACAACAUGUGGUGGUGGUUCCUGGACGGUUAGCGAGGCCAGUGGGACAGGAGGCAGAGUCCAGGAAUGGGGCCGGGUGGGUAAGGACGUUCAGAGCACGGGGCGCAGGCUUCCGCACAGGCUUCCGUUCUUAAACUACUGGGAAAGCAGGUGGGCCGUUCAGUAGCUUGGAACAAUGACGUCAACCCAGAGAAAAUUACUGUUAACUCCAGACAUGGGACAUCAGCAGGCAUCUCAAAUUAGGGCAUGUUCCAUGUGGGUCAGGAAUCUAGACGUGGACGAAAAACGAUCCGUGUAGUAACUGGGAGAAUCAUCGACGGUCUCAGAGUCGGAGAGGCUUUUCUAGGAAAAAAAAAACAAAAAAACAGAAACACAAAAAAGCCAUGCCAAGAAAUCAUGAAAUAAAAUCUGGAUAAGCCGGGCUACAUAAAAAAUAGUUAAAAAUGCCGCACAACCAAACCCACCACAAGUAAAGCCAAACAACUAACAACUGACCUCAGAGCAAGGUCAGUUUCUCUACCAAGAGCUCCUACAAAAUAAGUAAGACCAAGGGCCCCAAAGAACGGGCGACCCGUGAAGACAGACACGCGGCUCUUCCCCGGGAACAGACGGGCCUUCGCUGGAGCGACAACAGCUGCAGACUGAGUCCCUGUCACCCAGGGGCAGAGUCGGAGGCCCGGGCUGGGAGGGCCGCUGGGGACCCUUUCUCCUCCCCUGGUGGUCCCGCCGGUGCAAGGGCCUCCCCGCCUUCUCCACCCGGGCUGCGUUUUCGAGGCCCUGUUGUGUGGAGGCUCCUUGCUGGUCUUCCCCGAGGGGCCAAGGCCGAGCUGCAGCGCCUCCCGGUGAUGGGGUCCCGGGCCAGCAGAUUGUCAUUUCUCCCGUGAGAACUGCAUCCUGUCAGCGUCUGUCUUCCUGAAUGGACCAGCAUCGGCUCUGGCUCGGUGUCACGGAGUCUCGUGGAAACACCCGCCCUCCUCCCGAGGCCUCUGUGCAGGAACAUCCAAGGAGGCUCCCUCGCCCCCCCACAUGCAGUUCUUCCAGCCCAGGCCCCGUUCCCGUUCCCCUGUGGGGCAGCUGGCAGUGGGGCAGGUGACAUCUGCGGGCGGCUGAGAGACCGGCUUCCAGGGCUCCCUGAGCCCACACGGGAAGAGUCUUGGCUCGCUCGGCGCCCUGACGACAGACGGGCGUCUCACUGCAGCUUCCCGGAGCGACCAGAGUCCCCAGGAAAGCAGUCGUUGACAACCGGUGAGCCAGGAGCCCGCCAAGCAUACGGCGCCUCCUCCACCCCUUCUGGCGUCACCCCCCCCUCCCGGCGGCUGCACAGACGGCCCCCAGCCCUGUGUCUGCAGCCUGCCCUCCUCCCCCUUGCAUGGAGCCCGGGCCCUGCGGGCGAGCGAGCAGGGCCCAGGGGCACAAAGGAGGGACGGGUCAGCUCCUCUCCGCCCUUCCCCUCGACAAGUCGGGGCUGCGUCCCUGCACGUGCUGCUGGGGAUGAGGGGUGCUCCGUGGGGGGGCUCCAAGUGGCGAGGAUGCUGCCCAGCGCCCCUGUCGUUCCCCCCCUC